rnacentral:lncRNA from 10 species
UCAGUACAUUCUAAAUCUUCCAAAUUCAUUUCAUCAUAAGAAUAGUGUUGGUGGAACUUACUCUGAAAUCUUGGGUCUAACAACUCUCUCCUACUUUAUGAAUUGGCUAAUAACAAUUCCUUUUCUUUUAAUAGCCUUUUCUUUUAUCUGUUCUCAUAAUGAGAAGCACAAUUAAAUGCUUAUAAAGCUUUGGUAAGAGGUACUUGGCAAAAAUAAACAAUUUAAGUAUGAUGACUACUGACAAAGACUCUCCUUAAGCAAAAUUUAGUCAGGUUCCUUUGAGCCCAUUCUCUACUAGGCCCGGUACUUGGGCCUUGUCCUCAAGAGCAAGAAUCCUGUUAAGUCAGUUUUGUAAGAAUCCCAUCCUCAUAUCUGACCUCCUUCAAUAUCUGAUCAAAUUCCUCAUCCUCCAUUGCCCCCGAGGUGUUGUCUGAUCAUCCUGGCCUGCCUUCAGCAAGAAUCCUGUUAGGUCUGUUUAACCAGAAUUACCUCUUACCUUGAUGUUUCCUCCUAGGAAUUUUCCAUCCACCGACCCCACUCUGUUCCUUGGUAUGAAUCCCCCCUUAUUCUUCUUCUUUUCAUUUGGAGAUAGGGUCUUGCUAUGUUGUUGCCCAGGCUGGUCUUAAACUUCUGGCCUCAAGUGAUCCUCCCACCUUGGCCUCCCAAAGUCCUUGGAUUUCAGGCACCAGCCACCAUGCCUGGCCACAAAGACUAUUUAAUAAGGAAAAAUCCUCAAAAUGUUACAUAAAGAUCACAUCACAAAACUUUUACAUACAGUGUUAUUCUGAUUUAUUUUUGAAGGGGUAAGGAGAAGGAAAAUAUAUCACUUUUAAAAGUGGAAUUUCAAUUGUUUUUCUUCUAUACUCAUAUGUUUUCCAUUUUUUUUCUAUUUCCAACAGAAACUUUCUGUAAAUGCUACUGUCAUUACAGGAUAAACUUCAAAUCUACUGUGAUUCUUUAAGGCCGUAUACACACAGACUUAUCCAUAUAUUGAGUCUUACCUUUCACCACAG